GCUGAGGACUCUGGCGGAACUGCCGGUGACAAACCGGAGGAAGGUGGGGAUGACGUCAAGUCAUCAUGGCCCUUAUGUCCAGGGCUACACACGUGCUACAAUGGUUGGUACAAAGCGAUGCAAAACCGCGAGGUUAGAGCAAAGCGCAAAAAGCCAACCGUAGUUCGGAUUGAAGUCUGAAACUCGACUUCAUGAAGUUGGAAUCGCUAGUAAUCGCACAUCAGCACGGUGCGGUGAAUACGUUCCCGGGCCUUGUACACACCGCCCGUCACACCAUCCGAGUUGGAGGUACCCGAAGCCGGUAGUCUAACCUGCAAAGGAGGACGCUGUCGAAGGUACGUUUAGUGAGGAGGGUGAAGUCGUAACAAGGUAG
rnacentral:rRNA from 1 species